rfam:Triticum aestivum genome assembly, contig: Triticum_aestivum_CS42_TGACv1_scaffold_212598_3AS
AAUAUACUCCCUCCGUCCAAAAAUACUUGAUAUCAAAAUGGACAAAAAAGGAUGUAUCUAGAACUAAAAUAUGUCUAGAUACAACUCCUUUUAUCCAUUUUGAUGAAGAGUAUUUCCGGACGGAGGGAGUACAUG